rnacentral:lncRNA from 1 species
CUGACUUCUUUUGUCUAUAAGGACCUGCCUCACUAAAGCAGCACAUCUGUCAUAAUAAUCUGAAAAUAUGCUCAACUGCAAUUGAAAAGAAUUGUCCAAAUAUUGUAAUUAGGCUUCAGAAAGCCCCAUGUAUCGAGUACUUUCUGGGAAGCUUAGUUCGUUUAGUGUUAUACUGCAAUGUGAGUAUCUGCAAUGUUGAAUCUGUGUGUCGUAUUCCCUCUACUGAACACUAACUGAACCAUAUGAUAGUUCAUGUUUGUAUCUUGUUCAAAGUUGAUUAUCAAUUUGUAUGAUUCAACUUACUUUUUGCUUCUUUUUUAUAGUAAUCGUAUGAUUCUUUUUCCAUUAACUUGUGUAUCAUGUGCCGAAAGCAGGACGAAUGAAGUCCAAAGCUCCCGAAUCAUAAUCAUUGAGGGAAUGAAUCUGUUGCUGAGUGAAAUUCGCGUUAAAUACUGGAUAUUCAGAGUAUCUGUCACAGCCUUGAUGGUGGAUUUAUUUGGAUUUAAGAAAGUUUUAGUGACAUUCAAUGAGCAGGGCAAGCAUCUGUGAAAUUAUCCUCCUUAUAUCUGCAAUUGCUUUUCAAGGACCUCUCUAUAAUCGUCUCCGUCUCCGGGCGCUUUAUCAAGAAGGUAUAUGAGUUUAUUAAGCUAAGUGACAAUUAUCUAAGGUUCUUGUAUAAACCAGUUCAAAAAAAGUUGCAGCUUAGAAGAAUAUAUUGUUCCUUGAACAGAACUAAACCAAGCUGCAACAAUAAUAACAGCUUGCAAUUCUAUUUAUUCACCUCAUAGAGUUACACAGUGGUCAUUAUUACGAAACAUUUCAAUUCAUCUAACAAAUCUGAGAAAUUGUAAUGAAGCUAAACAAUCUUUUAAAGGGCAAAAAAAGACCAAAUCUUAAAGGAAACCUUCUAGAGCGGAAAAACAUCUACUAUACACUAUAAGAUAUUAUUAAUUUUAUCUUGAAUCAUCUUAGUAACAGGCUUCGACGCCCUACAAGAAAGUCACAAACCAUGUUUCCCUGGCCCUUUAACGUGGCAGUCGAAAAGGAUUUGUCCCUUGAGGCUUUAAUGUAAGGUUCAAAAUAUUAAUCCUGUUAGGUGAUCUACUUCCUUAAGGAUUUAAGUUCAAAUCUUAACAUUUAUGCUGUCACUCUUAAGCAGAAGCAAAUCUGCACAACAUUUAAGACAUCUGCAAAAGUAUUACUAGGCAUUUGUAGAGAUUAAUGGCAUUAUUUUCCACGAUCUUGCAAUAUUACAUAAGAGCAAGUCCAAUAGGUUACCUAAACUUGCUCCUAAACUCACAUUUAGGUAAUGAACUAAAAAAAUGCACUCCAACACUCUCCUAGUGGUUACUUAAAUCACCAGCACAACCUCAAAUCUCCUAGCCAUUACCUAUUUAUAAGUAAUCACUAGCCAUUACCUAUUUAAUAUUUAUGAAUAAAAUAAUCAAUCUCUCUCCUUCUUUCUUUGUCUUUUUCCUCUCUUCUCCUUUCUCUCUCUCAAAUUUAUUACUAAAAUAAUCUUAGGAGAACAAAUAUAAGGAUUGCUAUUGGAGUUGACACUAAAAAUAGAUUACAUAAAUCACUAAGACUCGCUAGGAUUCAUUAUUUUAUAUUAUUAAUAGGUAAUGAGAUAAGUAACCUAUUGGACUUGCUCUAACUAGUAAAAAAGAACUUUAGCUACAACCAGAGAAGUGCCAUUUUCAAUUUUUUAUUGUCUAAUAGUAACUCUGUUUUUUAUGGAGGAAACAUCACAUACAAUGUUAAAGCUAGUUUCUGUAAAGUAAUCUAAGGAUCGCAAGAUCAUAACACAACUGAAUCCGCAAGGCUGAAAGUUCCAGGUUUACAUCAAUAUUAUUGCAGAAGACCAACUGCCCUAUAAGCUGUUAUUCAUAAUAUGGAUCCAAAGAUGGGUUAGUUUGAAGCCUUCCAUAAUUCAUAAUAUCAUCACUCACCCGAAAACACCAAAAAUUUACUCAACUCGUGUGAACUUCUAGGCAUGGCUAGUAAAAAGAGCUCAAAUCACAAUUUUUAUGUCAUAUGUCUGUUUAUAUAACAUACAUAAAGAUGAAGAACUUAGAAGCCUUUGGGGAGUGGUAGCAGAACGCCAGAACAUGAACUUAAAAUGUUACAAGUGUUUGGUAAAAAAAAAAAAACUCAAAAUCUCUAACGGUAAAUAUUACUCCUUCCCACUCAUUUUGUCUAACUUAGAAAUACACCGUAUAUUCACUAACAUUAAAUUAGCCGAUAAUUAUUAAAAAAAUUAUAUUGCUUUUCAUAUAUAUUAACUUAGUUUAUAUUGAAUUUGCCAUAUUUACUAAACAUGAUAAUUUUGGAUCACGUACAGUAGAAAAUGAGGGAUUCAAACAAACAAUAAAAAAAAAAAAUCAGUUAGAGCAUCUCCAACCCUCACAAGCCCUUAGGUAAAAGUCCACGUGGCUUUUCAAAAUUAAAUUUUAUAGCCAAUGUUCACAAAAACUGGAACUCCAGCCCCAGCAACCCCUUGUGUAUAAUUAUAGUCAUCCCACUAUGGAUGGCUAUAUUUGUCGAUCCGCUACCAAUCGGUAGCGAAUUCCACGUCAUCUCCAGCAAUUUAUUUUUCUACUUUCCACUGAUUACAUAUUAUUUAUUACCAUAUUAAACUGAAAUAUUCUAUUUAUUAUAAUCUAAAUAUUAAUAACAUGCUAUUUUUAAAUUAUAACCAACCAAUAUAGUCAAUACCAUUGAAGCACAAUGUCUUACCGGUUCGGCAAAUUUUACAUAAUGUCUUAAAGAUCCAAUUUAGCCAACGAUUGUAACCAACGUCAUUAGAGAUACUCUUAACAUUAGUAAUUAUUUAUUUAUUUACAUUAGUGUAAAUAUCAAAUACAUACAAUCAAACAUUCAUUCAAUAAAAAAUAAAGUUAUCAUUUUGAAUAAUAAAUUUAAAUAAAAUACAGAAAUGUCUAAAAUUUCAAUAUUAAAUUAUGUGAUUGUUAACUAAAAAAAAAAUAAUAGAAUCUAGAUUAAUGAAAUAUCUGUCCAGAUAGUCUAAGUGGAGAAACGGAUUUAUUGUAGAAAGGAAACAUUACUCAUCAUAAAAUAGAAUUAAAAUUCUUCAAAUUAAACAAAAACAAAAUACAUUCAAAUUGAACAGAAACAAAUUACAAAUUUUAUGAUAAUAUGAUGUGAUGCACGAGUGCCGAGAAUCUUCCAGGUUGUUUCCAAGACUUCUAGUUGGUUUGGAUCAAGAUACGUUCUAGUUGGACGGGAAUGUUCUUCAGCUCUUCACACUUCUUUAUUCUGAAACUUUUGAGGCAUGGGAGUGCUCCAUCCUCGACUUGCAAUUCUUUCAGAUUAGUGAAUUUUUGUAGUCUUAAGACUUGAAGACUUGGAAACGAAUUUUUACUGCAAACCAUUAUAUCCCCUCCGUACACUUGAUGCAAAUCAAGAGUCGUAAGAUUCCGUAAAUUUCCCAGGCUGGGCAUUGGAUCUUCAGUGAACCCACUCUCAGAUAGAGCUAAAUCCUCGACUGAAUCCGGAAGAAAACAGAAUUCUGAUAGUUCUAUAACACCUUUUAAAGUUAUGCUCUUGAGACGAUUCAAAACCAAAAACGGUUUCAAUGUUGAAAUAACGACAUCAUUAUACCUUUUAAAUAUGAACGUUUGGAGAUUUGUUAAAUUAGCAAUGGAUUCAAAAGUGCCACCUCCUCCUCCCACUCUAUCUCUUAUAUAUAAUGUACGGAGGUUAGUUAAAUUGACGGUAUCAAUCUUGACCCAUUCCUCGAAAAUUAUACCAUAAAAAGAAUGGAGUUUUGUUUGAUGGCUACCUAUAUUCAACCUCCCGCUAAUUUUAAUCAAUAUAAGAUACAGGUGCCUCAGCUCAGGCAGCUCCCAUAUCUCUCUGGGAACUGUGUGGGAACAACCAAGGGGCCCACCCCAUAAACUUUGUACUCCCUCUGUCCCAGUCAAUUGUAUACGUUUCUUUUUCACUGCUCGACACGCUUUUUAAGGCUCUUAUAAAACAUAAUUCCACAACUUAUUUUUAAGAUUUUCUUUUUUUGUAUAAAAAUAUAAAUGUUAUACUUUUAUACAAAAAAAGAAAAUCUUAAAAAUAAUUUACAGAACUAUACUAUAUUGAUGCUUUAAAGUCCGUGCCGCGCCCCCGUCCCCCAAUGUAUACUAUUGACUGGGACGGAGGGAGUAACUUUUUCAGCUUGCCUAUAGUUGCCGGCACUGCUACUGUUUUCCUGACGCUACCCAUUAAGCCUAAAAACUUUAAAAGAACCAGUUCCCCUAAUCCUUCUGGUACCCUCUCUGAUUCUACCCUCGACAUAUCAAGCACCGUAAGAUUUUUAAAUCUGGUGUAUAUCAACUUCAUUUCUUUUAAUUCCACUUUAACUUUAUAACCUUCCACCACUAAGGAAUGCAAAUAUAAAGCAUCAAAUCUACGUUGCUCAAGUAAUUUCAAGUACUCACCAAUUUCAUCGUAGAUAGCAUGACGCCGUUGUCCUUCCAAUAAAUGGGUGAGAUUUGGUUGGUGUUUACUUGAAUCUGAAAUAACCAAAUUCUUCUGCUCCUUUGCUUUUCUUAUGGCAAGUUCACGGACAAGAUCAUGGACCUGGCAUGCCAAAACUUUCCCAUUCAAUUGCGAAUAAUUAAUCUGAAUUAAGUUGCGAUUAAUCAGCUCGUUCAGACAAUCCUCGGCCAAAUCCUCCAUGAGUACUCCAUCUCCUUCUUCAUCUUCUGAUAUGAAUUCCUCUGCAAUCCAUAAAUGCUUCAAACGUUCGACAUCAAUAAUUUCGUCUUCUGGGAAUCGUGCAAGGUACAGAAAACAAUCUCUCAUUUGGUGAGACAAGUCUUUAUAACUCAAGCUGAGUAUUUCUACAAUAUCCACCGAGUCAUCCCUCAAGUUUCUCCAGAUAUGCUCCUUCACCUUUAACCAAUAGUCUUUGCUCUUGUUGUGCAAUAAAAGGCCGCCCAGUAUCACAAUUGCAAGUGGUAAACCUCCACAUUUACCAACCAUCUCCCUUCCCAACUUCUCCAGAUUGUGGGUUGGUUCUGCUGUCUUGCAGAAUAAUUCCCAGCUUUCCUCUUCCCUCAACAAACGAAGUUGAUAGGCUAAACAAUUCUUAUCCACAGUCUCUGCGACUUUCUUGUUUCUGGUAGUUAUCAUGAUCCUACUACCGUUGUCCUGGUUUGGAAAUGCGAUCUUGAUCUGGUUCCAAGCUUUUAUAUCCCAUAUAUCAUCAAUAAGUACCAAAUAGCAACCUUGAUUCUCGAGUAACUGUUGUAGGUAUUGCCGCAAGUCAUGCUCAUCCAUGUUUGACAUAUAUUCUUCGUGCUGAGGUCCCUUGAAAGACUUUAUUAUCCUCUUAAGGACAUCUUUGAUGGUAUAUUCGUUGGAGACGCAAACUUUAGCACGGGUGCCAAAAUGUCUCAACUCGUUAGAGUUGUACAACUUGAGGGCAAGUGAAGUCUUGCCUAAUCCCCCCAUUCCGUGAAUAGAAAUGAUUUUAAGGGGAGGAUCCUUGCUAUUAAGUUCUUUCAUCAAAUUCUGAAUAUCGUCCUUGAAACCAACCACAUCCACAUGGGUAUCAAUGGCGCUUGCUCUUAUGAAGGUUCUCUCUUUCUGUUUCAGGUCUGGACCGGCUAAAAUAGUGUUGAUCCCAUACUCAAGGCGCCUCUCCUUGAUCACACCGAUCCUUUUCUUGAGUGACUCGAUAUCAUUGCCAAUGUCGUAAAGCUGAGCUUCUUUCUUGCAGAUGCAGAUACAGUUGAGAAAUCUGUCCAUAUGACCUUGUUCCAGACUGGCUUGUCCAUCCUGAAACGUCUUCAGGAUAUCCACAGCUUCAUUGGCAACGUCUCUGACAUUGUUUAGCCAUAGACGGAUGAGUUUCUCUUCUUGCCUUGAUUCUGCAAGUUCUACGGUAGCCUGGAGGAGGCCCAAUUCUUCUUUGAGCCAUCUUAUAUCAUCUCUAACUCCUAUUCGUAUGUUAACCUGGUGCACAAGAAAAUCACCAAGCUUUUCAAUUGCAAAAGAUAUUACAGCAUCAGCCAUACUUUUCUACCAAGUCAAAAAGAAAGGAAAGCUGGGAAAUAUUUGCAAAAGACUUUGGUAGGAGAUCACUGAGGGAGAAAGAGUACUUCAAAGUGAAACUUAUCAUUAAAAUUCAUUAAUUGCUACAAUUGCUGCUGAUUUGCUGGACCUCAUACCCUGCGAAUUAAUCUGGGUUGCAUCAUGCAUUAUUGUUAGUUUAGACUUUUACUUAUCAAAUAAUAGAAUUAAAUAUAAAUCUAUAAUUAUAUUUUCUUUCGCAUGGAGUCAUCAGGGAGUUUUUUAAGAUUCCCAUGGAGAUGAAAGUGACUGAUAAGCGAACAAAUAGAGAAAAAUACAGACGACCUUGCGCAUUAUUCUUGCUAGACCUACCGGAGGAAUAACGUGGCCCAACUCGUCAUCCUAUUAUUAUACUUACCUUGACCCUUAUACGGCUGUAGAGAAAAGGCUCUGUAUAUCACAAAACCUACACGUAAUGUCCAAAAUAGCAGAGCUCGGAGAAAUGAUUCAAAAUACUAUUUAUUAAUGUCAGAUAAUCUAUCAUUUCGAUUUUUGAAAUAAAAUACUAGAUCAUGUUGUAUUUAGGUAUGAAUGUCAUAUUUGAGGUGCAACCGUUGAAAGCAUUUGGCAAGAACUUAAUCAAGCUCAAACUAUCUGACUAAUGUCAAUAUACUUUAGACAAUUUAUCAGCAUGGAUUGAAAUAAAGACGAGAACUAUACCAGUAAUCAUUACCACUAAUCAUUAUCACGAAGCUUACAAUUAUGAUUGAACCUCGAGGAGGAGGAUCAUCGUAUAGUUUGGCCGCAAAAGUCUGGGGAGUCUGAUCACCGUUGUGCAACGACGCUUGGAACGUCAGAUAGUACAAAAACUCAUGAGAAAACGAUCUCAUUUCCUUUGAUGACAACAUUGGUAUACUUCUUGUUUCCCUGCACGAGGAACGCUUAAUGAAAAAUACAAGAAAUAAACAAGGACAGUGGAAAAAUGGAAAAUGUUUCAUACACAAAAUCAGAUACAAAAUUUUUCAUAAAAUAAUACGUGUUAAGUUUUGAUCGGAAUGAGCUCCUUGUAUAUGUGUUAAUAGCAACAACUAAAACAUCUAAUCUCUAACUGUUAUGUUUUGUAUCCAAUUUUGUGUGUGUACUCUGUAGCACUACUUCGGAAAAAUUGACGUAUUGACAAACCUCUGUGUUACGAUAAAGCUGAGUGGCCUCAUUUUGUAGAGUAAUGAUGCCACAAACCUUACGAGACAUGGACGAAUAGUCUCCAACCUGAGAACCAUGACACGAGAAAAUUAAGAUAAUGAGAUUAACGCGAACAAAAACAGUUAGAAGGUUCCGGACAAAACAAAUAAACCAAAAUUGCAUAUUACAAUAAAAUUCAAUACGACAAGUAAAGAUGCAAUAUUUACGAGGUGUAUUCGAUUGGGAUUUUAAGGAUUGUUUGUGGUAUAUGGAAUUUUAAUGGAUUGUAUGUGAUUUUGAUUUUGUGCGGAUUCUUGAUCAAAUGUCGCAGAGUUGAUAAGAUUUAAGUACAAUACUUCAAAAUCCCAUUGAUUUUGGUGGGAUUCAAAAAACUUAAAAUACACCGAAGAAUGCUGGCAAAAAAAAUAUAUAUAUACCGAAGAAUGCCACAAAAUCCAUCAUUUUAUGAAAUCCAAAAAAAUCAAUCAGCAUUUGAAUACCAUCAAAUUUUAAUGGAUUUUAAACAAUCCAAUUGAAUACCAUCGGAUUUUAAAACAUAAUUUAAAAUCCCAAUUGAAUAACACCGGAUUUUGUAGCAUAAUUUAAAAUACCAAUUGAAUACUUCAAAAUUUUAAUGGAUUUCAAACAAUCCCAAUCAAAUACCCUCAGAUUUCGUUAAUAUAAAAAAAUAUUUAAAAUCUCAAUCCAAUAAACCUUUCUCUUCGGCAUCGUCUUUUUAUUAUUUGCAAUUGCUUUCCAAGGACCUCUUUGUACAGUUAAACCUCUUUAAAGUAAUACCCCUCGGACCGGGGAAAAAUAUUACUUUACCGAAUUUAUUAUUUUAUCGAUAUAAUAAUAUUUUAUUACUUUAUCGAUAAAGUAAUAUUUUAUUAUUUUACCGAAUUUUUAUAUGUUUACAAAUUACAAUUCAUUAUUUUUAAAAAUAAGAAUCAGUCACAUACAAUAAUUAAUCAUAUGUGAAAACUAAAUUCAUGCAUGCACUGAAUAGAGUAUACAUGUACUGUAACAUGUGCAGUGUACGUAUUGUACAUCAUCCCAAGCGUGUCAUCAAAGGAAG